rnacentral:lncRNA from 1 species
UCCAAUAAGCUCUCACACUCACAAUAUAGGGCCUUAUACAAUCAAAGACCUCUUCCAAGCCCAAUGAUUUUCUUCCUUGUUUAUUAGUUUUUAUUUUCCCAAUCUUACCAAAAAUAUGUUCAAAAUUUUUAUCAUUACAUUUUAAUUGCAUAAAUAAAAUGUAUGUUCAAACUUUUAUCGGAUAAUUCCUUCAUUUCCUUGUUACAGAUUAUACCUUUAUAUUCACAAAAAUAAAACUUGUAUGAAUUUCGAAGAAUUUGAAAGGAAAAUGUGACUUCAUUUAUUUUUUAUUUAAAAAUGUUAAGAAAAUGGAAUGAUAAAUGUAAUGUAAGACUCGGUUAUGAACAUUCACAUGUUUUUCUUUCGGUCAAACAAAACAAAAGAUUUAAUUGUUGCAAUUGUUUGUCAUAUCUUCACCCAUGGAAUAUUCACAAUAAUUUCUAGAUAUAUAUAUUGAAAAGUUCAAUAGUUUGUAACAAAAAAUUCCGAGAAAAAUAAAAAGAUUUUAUUGAGUUUAUAUUUCGGUCCGUGUAAAUUUAAUACUUUUACACAUGAGAAUAACUCAUUGGAGAAGGUAAGAGCUAAGGAAAAUUGAGGUGUGAUAUGUGAUAUGAUAAAAAUUAAGGAGUGAAAUAGAAAUAAAAUUAAGUGUAAAAUGGAGUGAAAAUUGUUUAAAGUGUGAAUGAAAGAUUGGAUGCAAUAUGGUGUCGGUCACUGUAAAUUCAAGUGUAUGCAUGUGCCACUACUAGCUAAGAUCAUGGAAUCAACACUAAUAUAUCACAUUCUUUCUAAGCUCAUAAGUAAUCGAUUUUAACUUAGAAUAGGAAAUUCAUAUAAUUUAAAUCCACGCCUCUGUUUCUUAUAACAUUAAUAUUAUUGAAUCAUUUGACCUGUCCCAAAAACUAAGAAGGCAAGAAGCACGUUAUCUUCCUCUAUCUUGUAUAGAAACUAAGUUGUAUAUAUAUGGGUCAACUAUGGCCUAUUUGAGACUGAAGAAAAUACUUUGAAGGUGAAGUUGAUCAUGGCAAAUCUGGCUGCAACCUCUAUGUCGUUCUUCCUGACCGUGUUCUUCAUGAGCCUUGUCUCUCAAAUCUAUGGAAGCAAGAUCGAUUGUAUAACCAACAAGCACGUUGCCUUGUUCAUUUUUGGUGAUUCAAUCUUAGAUGCAGGAAAUAACAAUUACAUCAAUACUACAACCUUUGGUCAAGCGAAUUUCUUGCCAUAUGGAGAAACCUACUUCAAGUUCCCAACGGGAAGGUUCUGUGAUGGUCGGUUGAUAUCAGAUUUUAUUGGUAAGAUUCAAUUUGCAGAUCUUAUAGAAUAUAUAUGCUUCUUCUCUUGUUAUUCAAAUCCAACUACUUUCUCCAUUUAAUUUAGAAAAAGCUUCUCUGCUCAUCAUGUCUUUUGUCAUAUUUUGCUUUUCCUAGCUGAAUAUGCCAAUCUGCCAUAGAUUCCACCAUUUCAACAACCUGGCCUUACUCAAUUCGAAAGUGGGGUGAAUUUUGCCUCUGGUGGAGCAGGUGCUCUUGUUGAAUCUUUUCAAGGCUUGGUAAAUCGGUUCCUUUCAUUUACAUAAUUAGUGCUUUAAUUUUAUAAGUGAUUGCUUAUAGCUAAAACUUUAUGGGCAAUUUUGGUGGUCAGGAUAAGAUAAGAGUACAUAUGAUAAAUGAUUCGAUAAGGGCAUGAUAUGAUAAGAGCAUGAUGGACUCUUAUCCUAUCUGGCGUUUGAGGUGAACAGAAUAUUGAUAGGAUAAAAUAUAAACAAUGAAAAAUUGUCAUAUUUUUCUUUAAAUUAAAAAAUACAUAAAUUUUAAUUUUCUAAAUAGUUUUUUUAAAUGAUUAUUUUAUAAAAUUUAAUUUUUUUUACAUUUUUAUAAAUGAGCUUAUGUUUUAAUAUUAACUAAAAUUAAAUUAAUUUUUAUUAAUUCGGCUAUUUUAAUUUUUUCAAAGGGAGUCAAUUUUAACUAAAAUUAUUAUAUAUGUAACCGAUGGAUUUUGACUUAAUAGGGGAAAGUGAUCAAUGAUAAAAAUUAAUCAAAUUUUUUAAAAAACUAUUAAUGAUAUUAUUGUUUCAAAAAUAACUUAUAUUUAAAUUAUUAAUUCUAAUUAUAUAAGUAGAGAAAUAAUUUUAAAUAAUAUUAUAUGAUAAUAUAAAUUAGUCUAUAAGUAGUAGUAAGUGAUAAUGAAAAUUUAAUUAUUUUAUAUGAGUAAAUUCAAUAUUUUCACCAUUUAUAAAUCAGUUUAUAUUUUAAUUAAAUUUAUUAGUAACUAAAUAAUUUUAACUUAACAAUAACAACUAGUAAUUGAUUAAGUAAUAAAAUCAAUAUUUUAUUAAAUCAAAAAUAUAUAUUUAAUAAUUAAUAUUAUUAUAAAUUAUAUAAAAUAUAAAUAUUAAAAUUAAUUUUGGGCUAUGGUAAUGAAUAAAUAAAAAAUUAAUAUCCUAUCCUGUCAGGAUGAUUUCAAUCAUAACUCUCCCCCCAUGAUAAUUUUUACACAUGAUAGACAGCAUAGGAUAAGACAGGAUAGUGUUAUCAUAUUCUACUGGCGCAACAAAGAACAUAUUACUGCAUGAUAAGAUUAUUCUUAUCCUAUUAUGUUUGUUUAUCAUAUCUACCAAACGGAACCUAGAGGGAUUAGCAGGUCAAAUUAUCCUAUUAUUGUUAUCCUAUUAUGUUUGUUUAUCAUUGUUAUCCUGUCAGGUUGAUCAUUGCGGAUUAGAGGGAUUCAAUUAAGGCUUGAUAAGGUUGAUUCUGCUUCUCUCUCUUUGUUGCAUGAUCAGCUUCAGGUUGAGCUUAAUCACACGCUUGCUCAAGAGGAGUUGCUCUGGUUUCAAAAAUCUAGGGAGCAGGAGGCUAUGUUUGGUGGACGGAAUACUGGGUACUUCCACACUAAGACUCUUAUCCGGCGGCGGUGCAAUAAAAUAUUCUCUCUCACUCUCCCUUCUGGUGAGGUGUGUACUGAUGAUCAUACCCUCCAGGUGGAAGCACUCCGUUUUUUCAAGGGUCUCUUUUGCGCUCCCACCAUGUAUCGACCCCUUGAGGGGGGUAAGUAUCCUUGCCCUAUGUUGUCUCAGGUGCAUGCUCGUCGGAUUUCCGCGGUAGUGUCUAAUCAGGAGGUGUGGGAGGCCAUGUCUACCAUGGGAUCGUUUAAGGCUCCAGGGCCUGAUGGAUUCUAGGCCAUCUUUUUUAAGUCUUUCUGGCACAUUGUGGGGGAUAGUGUCUGCCAGGUGGUUAGAGAGGCGUUUGCCAACGGGUCGUUUGAUGGCGCUCUUUCGGAAACGUUGGUGGCUCUCAUCCCUAAGGUUGAUGUCCCGUCUUUUUUCCGCGAGUUGCGUCCUAUUAGCUUGUGUAACGUGAUGUACAAGCUCAUCACCAAGGUUUUGGUUCUUCGCCUUCGGUCUUGUCUCCAGGAGAUUGUGGGGCCUCUUCAGAGCAGUUUCAUCCCUGGGCGUGGUACCUCAGAUAAUGCCAUUAUUCUUCAGGAGGUGGCUCAUUUUAUGAUGAAUAAGAAGAGGAGGAGCAGAAAUGUCAUCUUCAAGCUGGACUUAGAGAAAGCUUAUGAUCAGGUGAGUUGGCCUUUCCUCCAAGAAACUCUGAUGGCAUUUGGUUUCCCGCCCUCUACCGUCAAUUUGAUUAUGCACUGUGUUACUUCCUCCUCUCUUACGCUGCUUUGGAAUGGGAGUCGGCUACCAGCGUUUAGUGCAACUCGGGGCCUCCGACAAGGUGAUCAUUUAUCCCCUUAUUUGUUUGUGUUAUGCAUGGAGCGUCUGGCUCAUAUGAUUCAUCUUGAGGUGCUCCAUGGGCGUUGGAAGCCAGUUCAGAUUAGCCAGGGUGGCCCAGGUAUUUCCCAUCUUUUUUUUGCGGAUGAUGUACUGUUGUUUGCUAAGGCUGAGGUGGCCCAGGUUAGAAAUAUUUAUCGGGUCUUGGAAGAGUUUUGUGGUGCUUCUGGGCUAAAGGUUAAUCUUAUGAAGUCCAGGGCCAUGGCGUCUUGGUGUGUGGAUGGAGCGCUUAAAGAGCGGAUUGCCGCUAUUACUUCCAUUCCUUUCACUAACAGCAUUGGCAAGUAUCUAGGUUUUCCUAUUCAUCUUGGCCGGGUUCGGAAGGAUGACUUUGGUUUCAUUGUUGAUAGGGUGACUACUCGUUUGGCCUCUUGGAAGGCGUCGUUACUGAAUAAACCAGCUCGCAUUACUCUUGCUAAGUCUGUUUUAUCAGCUAUCCCGGUGUAUGUUAUGCAAUUGAAUUGGUUGCCCCAAGCUACUUGUGAUCAGUUGGAUGCGGUCGUUCGUCGUUUUAUUUGGGGCAAUGGGCGUUCCAGUGGGCUGCCAUUGGUAGCUUGGGAUAAGGUGACUCAAGCUAAGAAGCAUGGUGGCUUGGGUCUGCGGAGUGCCAGAAUGAACAACAUUGCCAUGUUGGGUAAGCAAGUUUGGAGCUUGGUUCAGCAGGAUAAUAAGUUUUGGGUGGACAUAGUGCGUGCUCAUCAUGUGGUGGGUCCGGCGUUGUUGGCUUGUGCUCCGAGUGAUGGGUCUUACUUCUGGCGUUCAAUGAUUAAGGCUCGCACUUUGCUUCGACCGGGUUUUGGGGUUCGCAUCGGUGAUGGAAGCUCCUCGUUUUGGUUCUCUAAUUGGUCCCCGUUGGGCCGGUUGUGUGAUCAUGUCAUUGCUGUUGAUAUUCAUGAUAUGGAGCUUUCUUUGAAGGAUGUCUUCACCGAUGGUGCUUUCAACCCGUCUCUGUUGUACACCUCCCUGCCUCCUGAGGUUAGCUAGUUUUUGUUCACCUUGAAGCAUAUUUUCUUUGAUGCAGGGACCCGUGAUUGUUUGGUCUGGACGCAAAAUUUAAAUGGCGAUUAUACUGUCAAGGAGGGGUUUAAAUGGCUGGUUGGUUAUGAUGAUGCUGCUACACCUGCUAGGGAUCAUUGGAAUGCAGUUUGGAAGGCCCGAGUUCCUGAGAAUAUUCGGGUGUUUCUUUGGCAGGUUAUGCAUGAUGCUUUGCCCACUUUUUCAUUAUUGUCGCGGCGUCAUUUGGCGACGUCGUCGUUGUGCCCUCGGUGCAGAUGUGGGGAGGAGACCAUUUUACAUUGCAUUCGGGACUGUACUGAUGCGCGUCUCAUCUGGCGAGGUACUGGUUUUGUCUUGCCCCAGACUUUCUUCUCGCUACAAAAUUUUAGUGACGUGUUGCAGAUUUUUGAUGGGUUUGGCCUGGUCAUUGCCUUGGCCACAGCGUGGAUAAUUUGGAAGGAGAGGUGUCGUUUUGUUUUCGCUGCUAAGCCUCUUGUGGUCCAUAGGGUGGUGCGUGAAGCUCGCGAUUUGUGGCUGCUCAUCGCGGAUGUGUAUCGCAGGGAUGAUCCUUCGUCGGUUGUGCGAUGGGUCCGGUGGCAACCUCCCCGGGAAGGGUUCGUCGCUCUUAACACUGACGGGAGCUCAUUGGGCAAUCCGGGAAUUUCAGGCAUUGGAGGUGUUGUGCGAACAGAGGAUGGGAAUUGGAUUCUUGGCUAUGCAGGAAACAUUGGUGAGUCGGAUAGUUUACGCGCGGAGCUUCUUGCUAUUCUCCGUGGUUUGUCUUUGUGUUGGGACCGUGGUUUCAGGUGUGUGGAGUUGUUUACUGAUUCUUUGAUAGCCUUGGGUUUGAUCAUGGAGAGACAUCCUGUGUUCCAUCAGUAUGCAUCGAUCAUUGGGCAAAUCAAGGGCCUUCUUGCGAGACAGUGGCAGAUUCAGUGUCACCACAUUCUUCGCGAAGGUAACGCGGUAGCUGAUUUUAUGGCAAAGCAUGGCGCUUCAGCUUUGCCUGAGUGGCUGGUUUGAGAUAUACCAAUUCAGGGGACUGAGCAUUUGUUGAGAGAGGACCGCAUGGGCACUUUGUUCAUGAGGGUUUAACUCUCUCCUUUUUCUUUUCUUUUGUAAGCUCUUUUUAUCAAAAAAAAAAAAACUUAAUUAUCACAGUUUGAAGGUUCACGACUUUGAUUUUUUUUUUUUUGAUGCCCAUAAGCAUGAGCAUGAUGGCUUUGUCAUAUCAAACUAAAUUUUCAGGUAAUACCCUUCGAAACGCAAGCAAUAAACUUCAAGAAAGUAGCAGUUUCGUUGAGGCGCAAGUUAGGCAGCUCUGAAGCUAAAACAUUGUUAUCAAAUGCUGUCUACAUGUUUAGCAUUGGAUCUAAUGAUUAUAUGAGCCCGGUCUUAACUGGUUCUGAUGUUCUCAAAUCUUACUCUCAUUCAGAAUAUGUUGGCAUGGUUGUUGGUAAUUUCACUUCCAUUAUCAAGGUACAAAUCUACCUAGCUAGUUACUUUACUUUAGUUUCCAAUGCUUAUUUUAAUAAUCAUGAAACUAUUUUGGUUUUUUAAUUGCAGGAAAUAUAUAAGAGAGGGGCUAGAAAAUUUGCAUUCAUAAACUUACCACCCUUAAAUAGUCUUCCAGUCAUGAAAAUGGUUGAGUCAACUAAAGGAGGUGGUUGCUGCUUGAAAGAACUUCCUUCCCUAGUUAGCUUACAUAAUCAAGCUCUAUCUAUGGUUCUGUUACAGUUAGAGAAGCAACUAAAAGGCUUUAAAUUUUCUCUAUAUGAUAUCAACGCUGAUCUCACUCAAAUGAUCAAUCAUCCCUCGCGAUAUGGCAAGUCUAUCUUUAGUGUUAACAAAAAAUGACAAAAUUAAAAUUUUGAUUUGGUGCUACAAUUUUGCGAAUUAUAUGAUUAGCGGCAAUAUGUAUACAUUGUUAUUGUCGCGACACCAACGACACUUGCAGGAACUGCACAAUAAAAAGAAAGUCUGUAGAAACAGCCACAAACUGUAGAUGAAGCUGGUGUAGCGAAAAUAACGGUGUACGCGAAUCAUUUUUGUUAUAUGAUAACUAAAAGUUAAGAUCUUUAUUUGUAGGUUUGAAGGAAGGAAAAUCAGCAUGCAGUGGAAGUGGAUUAUUUAGAGGAGAAUACAGUUGUGGGGGCAAAAGAGGGCAAAAGUACUUCGAGUUAUGUGACAAGCCUAGUGAAUAUUUAUUUUGGGAUGCUUUCCAUCCUACAGAAAGUGCUUACAAACAAUUGGCAGCUCGAAUGUGGGGCUCUCCAAUAAGCUCUCACACUCACAAUAUAGGGCCUUAUACAAUCAAAGACCUCUUCCAAGCCCAAUGAUUUCCUUGUUUAUUAGUUUUUAUUUUCCCAAUCUUACCAAAAAAAUUGUUCAAAUUUUUUAUCUUUACAUCUUAAUUGCAUGAAUAAAAUGUAUGUUUAAACUUUUAUCUGAUAAUUCAUUCAUUUCCUUUUUACAGAUUAUACCUUUAUAUUCACAAAAAUAAAACUUGUAUGAAUUUCGAGGAAUUUGAAAGGAAAAUGUCAUUUGAUUUUUUGAGAGAAUGGAUAAAUGUUAUGCAA